rnacentral:lncRNA from 1 species
UUACUAAAGAGGUACUGCUAUUUUUCAAGAAAAUCACCUUUUAAAAUAUGAAGAAAAAAAAACAGAGUACUUGUCAUUUCCAAGCUUGGAUUCUUAUAUACUCGGAAUUAGUUCCUGAAUACAUCCUAUAUAGAUUUGUAAUAAGUGAUGCACUGCAAUAUUAAUUGGAUCUUUAAGUUUUUGGACCACAUUCGUUUGAUUAACAACUAAUUUUGGACCAACAAUUAAUUUUUAGAUAUGCCAAUAUUUGUAGGACAGUUUUUCCAUUGAUAUUAUGGUUUGAUUAUUAUGGUUUCAAGAUAAUCCGAAUUAUCAGUAGUUUGUAUGUAGGUGGACCCUUUGAUUUCCCUUCUCGAAGACAAAAAUAUCAAACUUACAAAUCAACUUGUCCUAAAACAUCAUCAAUAUCAAGUAUACUUACUAGUCGUAUGAUAUCUCCAUCAUUUGUUUUUUUAGUCAAAUUAAUUAAGUUCUUGGACUUCCUAUCCAUUGUCACACAU